rnacentral:rRNA from 1 species
AUGCAGGUUCUUCUCAUGACCCUUCAAAAUGCACCACCAGGUCUUGACUAUGACCGCGAUAGAAAAUUCUCAAAGUCUUUGAAGGAAAUGGUUGCAAUGUGCUUGGUAAAAGAUCAAACUAAGCGGCCAACAGCUGAGAAGUUACUAAAGCAUUCGUUUUUCAAGAACACAAAGGCCCCACAGCUGACAGUUAAGAGCAUCUUAACCGAUUUGCCCCCUCUGUGGGAUCGUGUGAAGGCACUCCAGCAAAAAGAUGCAGCACACCUGGCUUCAUCUGAACAGGAAGCACUUUCCAUGAGUGAGUAUCAACGAGGUGUCAGCGCAUGGCACUUUGAUAUUGAGGAUCUCAAGGCUCAAGCAUUACUGAUUAAUGAUGACGAUCCACCUGAAUUGAAGGAAGAUGAUGACAGUGUCCGAAUAAAUGAAGUUGAUAAGGGCACAUCUUUUGAGAGUCAUUUUGGACAAUCAACGCUUCUGAAUGGAAAUAACCACAGGUUGAAUCAUGAACGAACUUGUACCACUGCAGUAAAUCCAGGUGGAAAUGGCCCUGAAACAAGUGAUGAAUUCGCUUCUGACCUUGGCAAUGCUGAUAGUCCAAGGAUGGUUGAUGGACACGUAAAGCAAGGAACAGAAAAUGAUUCAUUGUCCUCUACAUCGAAGCAAGGUUCUGAGGGUGGAAACCGCAGGAGUGAAGUUAGACAAAGACAAAGGACAUUCUCUGGUCCGGUUAUGUAUUCUGGUACCCGCAGUAGUUCACUGAUUGAAAGAGGUUAUAUUAUUGAUAAGGAUGCAGGAGUUCGAUCACCUAAUAAACAAAAGAGUGACACGGGAAGAAUCGAUGAUCUUAGUGGUCCGCUUUCACUUUCAACUCGUGCUUCUGCAAAUAGUCUGUCUGCCCCUAUUCGGUCUUCUGGAGGAUAUGUGGGCUCCUUGGGAGACAAACCUAGGGUGGAAAUAAAAGGCCGACUUUCCGUAACAUCUGAAAAUGUGGAUCUGGCGAAGGUUCAGGAAAUUCCAGUGGUCAAAAUUUCACCUAAACCACAGGAGGUAAGAACUCAGGUCUCUACAAUGAAAAGAUCAGCCAGUGUUGGUGCUUGGCCAGUGAAGGCUAAGUCAAUGUCUAAUAAUAGUCAUCAUCGGAAGGAAUUCCGUGACAGCUCAGUAUCUGCAUCAAUUCUGAUUCCCCAUCUUGAAAACCUUGUACAGCAGACCACAUUUCAGCAAGAUAUCAUCACGAACCUAAUGAGUAACUUGCAACAGAAUGAGAAACCCAAUGGGCCGCACACUAGAGUUCAGACUAUGGAGGGUGAUACAGGGGUUGAAACGGGCAGUGCUGAGAGAGAACGGAAACUACUUGCAAAAGUAUUCGAAUUACAGUCAAGGAUGAUUUGUUUAACCGACGAGUUGAUUGCAUCAAAGCUGAAGCAUGUUGAGCUGCAAGAAGAGCUAAAUACACUCUACUGCCAAGAAGAAACAGGAGAGGAUGACGACAGCGGAGAGGCAUGA